GGGAGUACCAGAGUUGUUCUUACAUAGCACCAGGCCAAACUCAGAGUUGUGAAGGCAGAAAUUCAAUCCAUUCUGCUGGACUUCACCCCACUAUGACCAAUAGACUCUUUUGCUGGGUCUCCAUUUUUCUCUUUGGAGCAGCUCUUGCUGAAACAGAAAUCAUUCAGACACCGAGAUACCUGGUCACAAGGGUGAAGCAGGAGGUGAAGCUGACAUGUCAACAAAAUAUGGGGCAUCCUACCAUGUACUGGUACCAACAGGAACCACAGAAAGGAUUCAGGGCAAUGUUUUAUUAUACUUAUAAGGACAUGAAUUUAAAUGAGACCGUUCCUCCAAGAUUCAAACCUGCAUCAUCAGGGAAUGGUCACUUGACCCUCAAAAUUCACCCUGUGGAAGCAGAGGACUCAGCCACCUACUUCUGUAGCAGCAGCAAAGACACAGCCUUACAGAGUCAUCUCUAA